GAUGAACGCUGGCGGCGUGCCUAAUACAUGCAAGUCGAGCGAACGGACGAGAAGCUUGCUUCUCUGAUGUUAGCGGCGGACGGGUGAGUAACACGUGGAUAACCUACCUAUAAGACUGGGAUAACUUCGGGAAACCGGAGCUAAUACCGGAUAAUAUUUUGAACCGCAUGGUUCAAAAGUGAAAGACGGUCUUGCUGUCACUUAUAGAUGGAUCCGCGCUGCAUUAGCUAAUUGGUAAGGUAACGGCUUACCAAGGCAACGAUGCAUAGCCGACCUGAGAGGGUGAUCGGCCACACUGGAACUGAGACACGGUCCAGACUCCUACGGGAGGCAGCAGUAGGGAAUCUUCCGCAAUGGGCGAAAGCCUGACGGAGCAACGCCGCGUGAGUGAUGAAGGUCUGCGGAUCGUAAAACUCUGUUAUUAGGGAAGAACAUAUGUGUAAGUAACUGUGCACAUCUUGACGGUACCUAAUCAGAAAGCCACGGCUAACUACGU
rnacentral:rRNA from 1 species